rnacentral:rRNA from 1 species
GGGUUGUGAGGUUAAGCGACUAAGCGUACACGGUGGAUGCCCUGGCAGUCAGAGGCGAUGAAGGACGUGCUAAUCUGCGAUAAGCGUCGGUAAGGUGAUAUGAACCGUUAUAACCGGCGAUUUCCGAAUGGGGAAACCCAGUGUGWUUCGWCACACUAUCAUUAACUGAAUCCAUAGGUUAAUGAGGCGAACCGGGGGAACUGAAACAUCUAAGUACCCCGAGGAAAAGAAAUCAACCGAGAUUCCCCCAGUAGCGGCGAGCGAACGGGGAGSAGCCCAGAGCCUGAAUCAGUGUGUGUGUUAGUGGAAGCGUCUGGAAAGGCGCGCGAUACAGGGUGACAGRCCCGUACACAAAAAUGCACAUYCUGUGAGCUCGAUGAGUAGGGCGGGACACGUGGUAUCCUGUCUGAAUAUGGGGGGACCAUCCUCCAAGGCUAAAUACUCCUGACUGACCGAUAGUGAACCAGUACCGUGAGGGAAAGGCGAAAAGAACCCCGGCGAGGGGAGUGAAAAAGAACCUGAAACCGUGUACGUACAAGCAGUGGGAGCACGCUUAGGCGUGUGACUGCGUACCUUUUGUAUAAUGGGUCAGCGACUUAUAUUCUGUAGCAAGGUUAACCGAAUAGGGGAGCCGAAGGGAAACCGAGUCUUAACUGGGCGUUAAGUUGCAGGGUAUAGACCCGAAACCCGGUGAUCUAGCCAUGGGCAGGUUGAAGGUUGGGUAACACUAACUGGAGGACCGAACCGACUAAUGUUGAAAAAUUAGCGGAUGACUUGUGGCUGGGGGUGAAAGGCCAAUCAAACCGGGAGAUAGCUGGUUCUCCCCGAAAGCUAUUUAGGUAGCGCCUCGUGAAUUCAUCUCCGGGGGUAGAGCACUGUUUCGGCAAGGGGGUCAUCCCGACUUACCAACCCGAUGCAAACUGCGAAUACCGGAGAAUGUUAUCACGGGAGACACACGGCGGGUGCUAACGUCCGUCGUGAAGAGGGAAACAACCCAGACCGCCAGCUAAGGUCCCAAAGUCAUGGUUAAGUGGGAAACGAUGUGGGAAGGCCCAGACAGCCAGGAUGUUGGCUUAGAAGCAGCCAUCAUUUAAAGAAAGCGUAAUAGCUCACUGGUCGAGUCGGCCUGCGCGGAAGAUGUAACGGGGCUAAACCAUGCACCGAAGCUGCGGCAGCGACGCUGAUGCGUUGUUGGGUAGGGGAGCGUUCUGUAAGCCUGCGAAGGUGUGCUGUGAGGCAUGCUGGAGGUAUCAGAAGUGCGAAUGCUGACAUAAGUAACGAUAAAGCGGGUGAAAAGCCCGCUCGCCGGAAGACCAAGGGUUCCUGUCCAACGUUAAUCGGGGCAGGGUGAGUCGACCCCUAAGGCGAGGCCGAAAGGCGUAGUCGAUGGGAAACAGGUUAAUAUUCCUGUACUUGGUGUUACUGCGAAGGGGGGACGGAGAAGGCUAUGUUGGCCGGGCGACGGUUGUCCCGGUUUAAGCGUGUAGGCUGGUUUUCCAGGCAAAUCCGGAAAAUCAAGGCUGAGGCGUGAUGACGAGGCACUACGGUGCUGAAGCAACAAAUGCCCUGCUUCCAGGAAAAGCCUCUAAGCAUCAGGUAACAUCAAAUCGUACCCCAAACCGACACAGGUGGUCAGGUAGAGAAUACCAAGGCGCUUGAGAGAACUCGGGUGAAGGAACUAGGCAAAAUGGUGCCGUAACUUCGGGAGAAGGCACGCUGAUAUGUAGGUGAAGUCCCUCGCGGAUGGAGCUGAAAUCAGUCGAAGAUACCAGCUGGCUGCAACUGUUUAUUAAAAACACAGCACUGUGCAAACACGAAAGUGGACGUAUACGGUGUGACGCCUGCCCGGUGCCGGAAGGUUAAUUGAUGGGGUUAGCGCAAGCGAAGCUCUUGAUCGAAGCCCCGGUAAACGGCGGCCGUAACUAUAACGGUCCUAAGGUAGCGAAAUUCCUUGUCGGGUAAGUUCCGACCUGCACGAAUGGCGUAAUGAUGGCCAGGCUGUCUCCACCCGAGACUCAGUGAAAUUGAACUCGCUGUGAAGAUGCAGUGUACCCGCGGCAAGACGGAAAGACCCCGUGAACCUUUACUAUAGCUUGACACUGAACAUUGAGCCUUGAUGUGUAGGAUAGGUGGGAGGCUUUGAAGUGUGGACGCCAGUCUGCAUGGAGCCGACCUUGAAAUACCACCCUUUAAUGUUUGAUGUUCUAACGUMGACCCGUAAUCCGGGUUGCGGACAGUGUCUGGUGGGUAGUUUGACUGGGGCGGUCUCCUCCUAAAGAGUAACGGAGGAGCACGAAGGUUGGCUAAUCCUGGUCGGACAUCAGGAGGUUAGUGCAAUGGCAUAAGCCAGCUUGACUGCGAGCGUGACGGCGCGAGCAGGUGCGAAAGCAGGUCAUAGUGAUCCGGUGGUUCUGAAUGGAAGGGCCAUCGCUCAACGGAUAAAAGGUACUCCGGGGAUAACAGGCUGAUACCGCCCAAGAGUUCAUAUCGACGGCGGUGUUUGGCACCUCGAUGUCGGCUCAUCACAUCCUGGGGCUGAAGUAGGUCCCAAGGGUAUGGCUGUUCGCCAUUUAAAGUGGUACGCGAGCUGGGUUUAGAACGUCGUGAGACAGUUCGGUCCCUAUCUGCCGUGGGCGCUGGAGAACUGAGGGGGGCUGCUCCUAGUACGAGAGGACCGGAGUGGACGCAUCACUGGUGUUCGGGUUGUCAUGCCAAUGGCACUGCCCGGUAGCUAAAUGCGGAAGAGAUAAGUGCUGAAAGCAUCUAAGCACGAAACUUGCCCCGAGAUGAGUUCUCCCUGACUCCUUGAGAGUCCUGAAGGAACGUUGAAGACGACGACGUUGAUAGGCCGGGUGUGUAAGCGCAGCGAUGCGUUGAGCUAACCGGUACUAAUGAACCGUGAGGCUUAACCUUACAACGCCGAAGGAAGCGGUCUG